rnacentral:tRNA from 1 species
GGGUCCGUGGUCGCGGCGACCAGCUGGUUUCCAAGUCCAGCCCCCGAGGUUCGACUCCUCGCGGACCCG